rnacentral:misc_RNA from 1 species
CUCCAGCCCGGCGUUUGGCGUUAGCUGUCUUGAAAGGCUGAGCGAGGUGUUCUAUGCUCUCCCAGCCAACGCAACGUAGCGAGACAGUCGUUUUCUGUGCGCAUGUGGCCGCAGCCCGAAGCCGAAGUCGCGGUGUGAGCGGGCAAACGAACGAUGUAUGGUGGUUCGACGCAGUCUCGAAUGGCGCGCACUCGCAGCGAGUUUGCGCGUCGGCAGUCAGAAAGCUGGCAUAGCUGAGACGGUUAGUCCUGCCCGGCGUAGCAAGAGCUGGUCGGAAGGCAUCCAGUGGGUAACCAUGUAUCACGAGGCAGCCGGCGGAGGCGCGCUGAGCGAUGACUCCCCGGGCCUGCGUGUACGUGACUAGUCCUUUUUCCGGUGCGACAGAUAUCUGGUUGAUCCUGCCAGU